rnacentral:rRNA from 1 species
AACGAACGCUGGCGGCAUGCCUAACACAUGCAAGUCGAACGAGACCUUCGGGUCUAGUGGCGCACGGGUGCGUAACGCGUGGGAACCUGCCUUUAGGUUCGGAAUAACUCAGAGAAAUUUGAGCUAAUACCGGAUGAUGUCUUCGGACCAAAGAUUUAUCGCCUUUAGAUGGGCCCGCGUUGGAUUAGCUAGUUGGUGGGGUAAAGGCCUACCAAGGCGACGAUCCAUAGCUGGUCUGAGAGGAUGAUCAGCCACACUGGGACUGAGACACGGCCCAGACUCCUACGGGAGGCAGCAGUGGGGAAUAGUGGACAAUGGGCGAAAGCCUGAUCCAGCAAUGCCGCGUGAGUGAUGAAGGCCUUAGGGUUGUAAAGCUCUUUUACCCGAGAUGAUAAUGACAGUAUCGGGAGAAUAAGCUCCGGCUAACUCCGAG